CAGUCGCCGCGGGAAUACGUAGGGGGCAAGCGUUGUCCGGAAUUAUUGGGCGUAAAGCGCGCGCAGGCGGUCAUGUAAGUCUGGUGUUUAAUCCCGGGGCUCAACCCCGGAUCGCACUGGAAACUGGGUGACUUGAGUGCAGAAGAGGAGAGUGGAAUUCCACGUGUAGCGGUGAAAUGCGUAGAGAUGUGGAGGAACACCAGUGGCGAAGGCGACUCUCUGGGCUGUAACUGACGCUGAGGCGCGAAAGCGUGGGGAGCAAACAGGAUUAGAUACCCCUGUAGUCCCUGUCUCUUAUACA
rnacentral:rRNA from 1 species